UGCCCACCUCUGUGUGAUAUGUUUGAUAUUAGGUUGUUACGCUAGACCUCACCUGAAUAUCAGACAUAUUCCUACAGCGGCUGGGC
rnacentral:pre_miRNA from 1 species